UACGUAGGUGGCGAGCGUUGUUCGGAUUUAUUGGGCGUAAAGGGUCCGCAGGGGGUCCGUUAAGUCUGAUGUGAAAUCUCAUGGCUCAACCAUGAAACUGCAUUGGAUACUGGUGGACUAGAGUACCGGAGAGGAGAGCGGAAUUCCUGGUGUAGCGGUGGAAUGCGUAGAUAUCAGGAAGAACACCAAGAGCGAAGGCAGCUCUCUGGACGGUUACUGACCCUCAGGGACGAAAGCAUGGGGAGCAAACAGGAUUAGAUACCCUGGUAGUCCAUGCCGUAAACGUUGUGAACUUGAUGUGGGAGGAUUUAGUCCCUUCCGUGUCGUAGUUAACGCGAUAAGUUCACCGCCUGGGGACUACGGCCGCAAGGCUAAA
rnacentral:rRNA from 1 species